rnacentral:miRNA from 1 species
AGUGGUGGCUGAGAACAGUGAC